rnacentral:rRNA from 1 species
CCUACGGGAGGCAGCAGUGGGGAAUAUUGCACAAUGGGCGAAAGCCUGAUGCAGCAACGCCGCGUGAAGGAAGAAGGUUUUCGGAUUGUAAACUUCUGUUCUUAGUGAAGAAUAAUGACGGUAACUAAGGAGCAAGCCACGGCUAACUACGUGCCAGGAGCCGCGGUAAUACGUAGGUGGCAAGCGUUGUCCGGAAUUAAUGGGUGUAAAGGGAGUGUAGGCGGGCAGCCAAGUCAGCUGUGAAAACUACGGGCUUAACCUGUAAACUGCAGUUGCAACUGGCUUUCUUGAGUAAAGUAGAGGUAGGCGGAAUUCCGAGUGUAGCGGUGAAAUGCGUAGAUAUUCGGUGGAACACCGGUGGCGAAGGCGGCCAACUGGGCAUUAACUGACGCUGAGGCUCGAAAGUGUGGGGAGCAAACAGGAUUAGAUACCCUUGUAGUC